AAAUGAAGCAAAUCGAAUCAUAUCAACUGACUGAGUAUUCCGAAAAGAAGUAUACAUAAAACUUCAGCUAUGGAUAUUUGUUUAUCAUGAGAGGUCCGAGGGAAGAAAGGAAAGAACCGAUGUCAUCGUUAGGAAACAUUAUACUUUGUUGCUUCCACAUGU